rnacentral:rRNA from 1 species
CCAGACUCCUACGGGAGGCAGCAGUGAGGAAUAUUGGUCAAUGGGCGGAAGCCUGAACCAGCCAAGUCGCGUGAGGGACGACGGCCCUACGGGUUGUAAACCUCUUUUGCCGGGGGACAAACGGCGGCACGCGUGCCGUCCUGAGGGUACCCGGAGAAAAAGCAUCGGCUAACUCCGUGCCAGCAGCCGCGGUAAUACGGAGGAUGCGAGCGUUAUCCGGAUUUAUUGGGUUUAAAGGGUGCGUAGGCGGGAUGCCAAGUCAGCGGUCAAAUACGGGGGCUCAACCCCGUCGUGCCGUUGAAACUGGCGUUCUUGAGUGAGCGAGAAGUAUGCGGAAUGCGUGGUGUAGCGGUGAAAUGCAUAGAUAUCACGCAGAACUCCGAUUGCGAAGGCAGCGCACCGGCGCCCUACUGACGCUCAGGCACGAAAGCGUGGGUAUCGAACAGGAUUAGAUACCCCUGUA